UGAAAUAAAAACAAAAAGGAGUAUCUCGAGCUAGUUUACAUCUCAAAGAAAGGAAAUUCAAUAGCAGUUUCAAAGGGAGCAACCCCCUUUGAACUAUAAAUGAAUGUAAUCAAACUCAAUCCCCAGGAGCUUACACUCUAUCUUAAACUGAUAGUAAGGGAAUUGACCUUAUGACUGACUGCAGCAAUUGGAAUGAAAACUACUCUUUCUGGAUAGUUCUAUUGGUUAUGCCUAGUCAACUACAA
rnacentral:misc_RNA from 1 species